rnacentral:rRNA from 1 species
UACGAAGGGGGCUAGCGUUGCUCGGAAUCACUGGGCGUAAAGGGCGCGUAGGCGGUCAGCACAAGUCAGUUGUGAAAUCUCCGAGCUUAACUCGGAAAGGUCAACUGAUACUGUGCGACUAGAGUGCGGAAGGGGCAACUGGAAUUCUUGGUGUAGCGGUGAAAUGCGCAGAUAUCAGGAGGAACACCGGUGGCGAAGGCGGGUCUCUGGGC